AUAUUAGUGCCAAUGUUUUCAUGAAUGGGGAGUAAGACUUGGUGGUAUAAUAUUUCUAAUAUACAAGCUAGCAAUAAUUACUGCUUUUCAGUAUGGGUUGAGGUUUAGAAUGAUCAUUGGAGCUGACUUUUAAGGUUAGCAUUACAGCUUGUCCUUACAGAUUGAUGUUGGAAAUGGCCAUUGGAGUUGAAUUUUAAAGAUAACUAUUACUGUGGCUGAAGGAAAUAAUUGUUUGAUUAAUUCUCUGUAUCCCUCAGAGUUGUGGCAAAGGUUAUUAACAUGUAUACAGCUUGGCACUCUACACAAGGCAUUGGAUUUAACGUCCCCAUUCUGACCGGACAUGGCUGCGAAUUCAUACAUCCUGCACUUCCAAACAGAAGCCCCACUGCCAGUCUGAAGAAGACCAAGCGUGACCAUAUUUCUAUUCCCCAUUCACCCUUUGGGGUCUUUCUAACUUGAGGGAAAGGUUUCCAAUAGGAAUGGUUCAUAUAACUCUUGUUAAAACCAGUUAAAGAAUGUAUUUGAUAAAUUCUAAAUCAGAACUAAAACUACAGAAGAGUACAAAAUCCGCAAGUGAUAAUUUGCAUUUCACAAUUUGUGAAGCUAAUUGGAAGCACGUACCGUCUGUCGUUGCGAAGCCAUUUGGGAGCAUCUCUGUCGGGUGAACCUGAUUGGAAGUAGUACCUCUGGCAGACAAAAGCCAAUUAGAAGCAUGUAACUCUGGGUGAAGCCAACUUGGAAGCAGUAACCUCUGGAAAGUUGAUUUAACACAUUAUUAAUACACAAAUUUUAUUCAACAUUCUUUUUAAAGUUUACUUUCAUAUCAUUUUUUAUUUUCUAUUUAUAAUUACUCACCUUGUUGACAUUGCGACAUGCAAAUUAUCACUUCACCAUUUUUUUACUAGCCUAUGGUUUUUAUCCUGAUGAAGGUGCACUAGGAACCGAAACAUGUAGUCAGAGUUUUAAAUUUAUAUAUUUGAAUAUAAUGUAUUUUGUUUUGUUAAGUAUAUUAUAAGAUUUUGAACCGACACCAGUUUUUUUAAGCUUAUAGAAAAGUCCUAGGUGCCAUACAGAGUCAAAUGCACGUUUAAUGUCUACAAAACAUGCAUAUAAUGGUUGGGAUUUAUUUCUAAUGUAUUUUUGUAUAAGAGUAUUUAUUACAAACAUAUGAUCAGAUGUACGACAUCCUCUUUUAAAUCCAAUUUAGUUGCUCUUUACAAAUGAGUUUUUUCUUCUCAAAAAAGGCUGUCAGUCUAUUAUUUAAUAUUCUGUUAAAAAGUUGACCAAUAGUGUCACUUAUUGUUAUACCUCUAUAGUUUGAAGGAUCAUAUAUUGACCCCUUUUUAUGUAUAGUUGAAAUAUUCUCUUUGGCCAUAUUUUAGGAUAGAUUCCUGCAGAAAAAAAUCUAUUAAAAGCUUUUAAAAAUAGUGGGUUAAAAAUUGAUUGGCAGUACUUAAUUAUUUCAUUUAGUAUCAUAUUUAAUCCAAAGGAUUUGCCAUUCUUUAAAGAUUUAAUAGCUUUUAGUUAAGUUCAGACUCUGUAAUCUUGAAAGUCUUAAUUCUUUAAAAAUAUUAGUUUUUUCUAAAUUAUU